rnacentral:rRNA from 1 species
CAAGUCUGGUGCCAGCAGCCGCGGUAAUUCCAGCUCCAAUAGCGUAUAUUAAAGUUGUUGCAGUUAAAAAGCUCGUAGUUGAAUUUCGGGGUCAGUAGGUUGGUCGUGCCACCGGUACGUACUGGUCUCACUGAUUCCUCCUUCCUGAUGAGCUGUAAUGCCAUUAAUUUGGUGUUGCAGGGAAUCUGGACUGUUACUUUGAAAAAAUUAGAGUGUUUAAAGCAGGCUAACGCUUGAAUACAUUAGCAUGGAAUAAUGAAAUAGGACGUUCGAUCCUAUUUUGUUGGUUUCUAGGAUUGACGUAAUGAUUAAUAGGGAUAGUUGGGGGCAUUAGUAUUCAAUUGUCAGAGGUGAAAUUCUUGGAUUUAUUGAAGACUAACUACUGCGAAAGCAUUUGCCAAGGAUGUUUUCAUUAAUCAAGAACGAAAGUUAGGGGAUCGAAGACGAUCAGAUACCGUCGUAGUCUUAACCAUAAACUAUGCCGACUAGGGAUCGGAUGAUGUAAUUUUAA